rnacentral:rRNA from 1 species
GACGAACGCUGGCGGCGUGCUUAACACAUGCAAGUCGAACGGAAAGGCCCUGCUUUUGUGGGAUGCUCGAGUGGCGAACGGGUGAGUAACACGUGAGUAACCUGCCCUUGACUUUGGGAUAACUUCAGGAAACUGGGGCUAAUACCGGAUAGGAGCUCCUGCUGCAUGGUGGGGGUUGGAAAGUUUCGGCGGUUGGGGAUGGACUCGCGGCUUAUCAGCUUGUUGGUGGGGUAGUGGCUUACCAAGGCUUUGACGGGUAGCCGGCCUGAGAGGGUGACCGGCCACAUUGGGACUGAGAUACGGCCCAGACUCCUACGAGAGGCAGCAGUGGGGAAUAUUGCACAAUGGGCGGAAGCCUGAUGCAGCAACGCCGCGUGCGGGAUGACGGCCUUCGGGUUGUAAACCGCUUUCGCCUGUGACGAAGCGUGAGUGACGGUAAUGGGUAAAGAAGCACCGGCUAACUACGUG